rnacentral:rRNA from 1 species
UGAGGAAUAUUGGACAAUGGAUGGAAAUCUGAUCCAGCCAUGCCGCGUGCAGGAAGACGGCCCUAUGGGUUGUAAACUGCUUUUGUAUGGGAGCAAUAAGGACUACGUGUAGUUUGAUGAGAGUACCAUACGAAUAAGCAUCGGCUAACUCCGUGCCAGCAGCCGCGGUACUACGGAGGAUGCGAGCGUUAUCCGGAUUUAUUGGGUUUAAAGGGUGCGUAGGCGGCGAUAUAAGUCAGUGGUGAAAUAUUUCGGCUUAACCGAGAGACUGCCAUUGAUACUGUGUUGCUAGAAUAUGGUUGCUGUGAGUGGAAUGUGUGGUGUAGCGGUGAAAUGCUUAGAUAUCACACAGAAUAUCGAUUGCGAAGGCAGCUCACAAAGCCAUUAUUGACGCUGAGGCACGAAAGUGUGGGGAUCAAACA